ACGUUAGUUGCUAACGCGUGAAGGCGAGCACUCUAGACGAACUGCCGUUGACAAAACGGAGGAAGGUGGGGAUGACGUCAAAUCAUCAUGCCCCUUAUGUUCUGGGCUACACACGUGCUACAAUGGCCGGUACAGACGGACGCAAAGCCGCGAGGUGGAGCAAAUCCUAAAAAGCCGGUCUCAGUUCGGAUUGCAGGCUGCAAUUCGCCUGCAUGAAGUCGGAAUCGCUAGUAAUCGCAGGUCAGCAUACUGCGGUGAAUACGUUCCCGGGCCUU
rnacentral:rRNA from 1 species